rnacentral:rRNA from 1 species
AAUCAACGCUGGCGGCGUGCCUAACACAUGCAAGUCGAACGCGACUGGGGGCUUCGGCUCUCAGUUGAGUGGCGAACGGGUGAGUAACACGUGGGUGACCUACCUUCGAAUGGGGGAUAACGUCCCGAAAGGGACGCUAAUACCGCAUAACAUCCUGCCUUUGAACAGGUGGAGAUCAAAGCUGGGGAUCGUAAGACCUGGCGUUUGGAGAGGGGCCCGCGUCCGAUUAGCUAGUUGGUGAGGUAACGGCCCACCAAGGCAACGAUCGGUAGCCGGCCUGAGAGGGCGGACGGCCACACUGGGACUGAGACACGGCCCAGACUCCUACGGGAGGCAGCAGUGGGGAAUUGUUCGCAAUGGGCGCAAGCCUGACGACGCAACGCCGCGUGGAGGAUGAAGGUCUUCGGAUUGUAAACUCCUGUUGCCCGGGACGAAACACUCCGACCUAACACGUCGAGUCUGACGGUACCGGGUGAGGAAGCCCCGGCUAACUCUGUGCCAGCCGCCGCCGUAAC